CAGAUAUCGGACCGACCGAUUUGUGAGAGGUACACAAAUCGAUCCCAGGAAUUUCUGAGAGGUACACAAAUCGGUCUCAGGGAUUUGUGUUAAAAAAAAUUAAAAAAUUUUAAGUACAGAAAUCAGACCCAAGAAUUUGUGUACUUCCACAGUUUUGAAAAACACCAAAAAUUACCAUAUUAAAAUAUAUCACCACUUUUAUUUCCAUAACAAAAAAAAUUAGCC